UUCAACCUACGGGGGGCAGCAGUGGGGGAUAUUGCACAAUGGGGGGAACCCUGAUGCAGCGACGCCGCGUGAACGAAGAAAUAUUUCGGUAUGUAAAGUUCUAUCAGCAGGGAAGAAAAUGACAGUACCUGACCAAGAAGCCCCGGCUAACUACGUGCCAGCAGCCGCGGUAAUACGUAGGGGGCGAGCGUUAUCCGGAUUUACUGGGUGUAACGGGAGCGUAGACGGAAAGGCAAGUCAGAAGUGAAAACCCACGGCUCAACCAUGGGACUGCUUUUGAAACUGUCAAACUAGAGUACGGGAGA
rnacentral:rRNA from 1 species